UACGAAGGGGGCUAGCGUUGCUCGGAAUUAUUGGGCGUAAAGCGCGCGUAGGCGGCGUGUUAAGUCGGGUGUGAAAGUUCGAGGCUCAACCACAGACUUGCCGUCGAUACGGGCACGCUAGAGUGCGGUAGAGGCUAGGGGAACUCCUGGUGUAGCGGUGAAAUGCGUAGAUAUCAGCAAGAACACCGGUGGCGAAGGCGGCUCACUGGACCAUCACUGACGCUGAGGCGCGAAAGCGUGGGGAGCAAACAGG
rnacentral:rRNA from 1 species